rnacentral:lncRNA from 1 species
GUCUUCUAAGAUGGCUGUGCACAGAAGCGUUCAUUGACCCUCAGCCAAUACCCCACCAACACUUUAAACUCCAUAAAAAUUGAAUUCAUUUUAUUUCCCAAUGAGUCAAACAGCACCCUUCAUGUCGCCUCUGCUGUUAAUGGUUACAAUUCACCCAGUCGCUGGAGGCAGAACAUUAAGAUAGUCACCCUCCGUUAGUUAUUUGUGUUUCUUUUCUAUUUACCUGUCAGAAUGCUGUGAAUAUGACCAUCCAAUUUUCCAGCAUAAAUUCCCAUCAACCACAUAUGGGAGACCCUUCCUGGAAAGAUGCUAGACGAGAUGCUAUUCGUACGCCUGCUCUGCCUUAGGGACCGUGCUGCAUCUUCUUCACACAGACUGGGAACUACUCCAGGUUGUUCUGAGACUCUCUAAUGCAUUGAGAAGCAAACUAACAAAAGAGAAAGAAAAGUAAAGAAAUCAAGGAGAGCACAAAAACAGCAAGAAAACAAGACAGAUAGAAAGAAACAGAGGAAAACAUACGAGAAAGAAAAGACCAGCACCAUAUCUUGCAGCUGAUAGAUAGGUUGGCCAGGCUCUCUAACACUCAAGCUCAGCCCUCUCCUAUUCAACUACAGCCAGCCUCUUUCAACUUUGACAAAGCAGGAAGUGAUUGGAGUAAAAUCUCAAGAAGCCACUUUGUAAGGAUGGAGUGAUCUAAGUACAUGUUACAUUAGUGAAGACUACAGAAAAUGUAGUGAUUCCUCUUUUGCAAAUGGGCUGUUAUGUGGUAUUGAUGUGCUCAUUAUACUCAGGCAGAAUGCAAUUAAACCUUCAAUAGAAAAAUCAUUUUUCCUCUUCACCUCCUCUGAUAGUUAUUUGGGAAUCUACUUCUGUGAUGCCCUUUCAGUAACUUGGAGAAUGAGAUGUUCCUCUGUGAGGACUCACCGAGGCAAAGAGGAGACAUCCAGUCUUCCAGAAAGAAUGAAAAGUAACAUUGAGUGA